ensembl:snRNA Gm25473 predicted gene, 25473
GUGCUUGCUUCGGCAGCAUAUAUACUAAAAUUGGAACGAUACAGAGAAGAUUAGCAUGGCCCCUGCACAAGGAUGACACGCAAAUUCGUGAAGUGUUCCAUAUUUUU